UACAGGGGGUGCAAACGUUGCUCGGAAUCAUUGGGCGUAAAGCGCACGUAGGCGGUCUGUUAUGUCGGAUGUGAAAGCCCUUGGCUUAACUGAGGAAGUGCAUCCGAAACUGGCAGGCUAGAGUACUAAAGAGGGUCGCGGAAUUCCCGGUGUAGAGGUGAAAUUCGUAGAUAUCGAGAGGAACACCAGUGGCGAAGGCGAGUCCCUGGACAACACCUGACACUGAGGCACGAAAGCCAGGGGAGCAAACGGG
rnacentral:rRNA from 1 species